CCCUUAGAUGUUCUGGGCCGCACGCGCGCUACACUGAUGCAUUCAACGAGUCUAAAACCUGCUCUGAUAGGGGUGGGUAAUCUUUUGAAUGUGCAUCGUGAUUGGGAUAGAUGAUUGCAAUUUUUCAUCUUCAACGAGGAAUGCCUAGUAAACGCAAGUCAUCAGCUUGCAUUGAUUACGUCCCUGCCCUUUGUACGCACCGCCCGUCGCUCCUACCGAUUGAAUGAUCCGAUGAAUAUCAUGGAUUGAGGAUGCAAGCAGGUUCGCCUGUCUUCAUCUUCAAGAAGUGAAGUAAAUCUUAUCAUUUAGAGGAAGGAGAAGUCGUACCA
rnacentral:rRNA from 1 species